UACGUAGGGGGCUAGCGUUGUCCGGAAUCAUUGGGCGUAAAGAGCGUGUAGGCGGCCCGGUAAGUCCGCUGUGAAAGUCGGGGGCUCAACCCUCGAAUGCCGGUGGAUACUGUCGGGCUAGAGUGCGGAAGAGGCGAGUGGAAUUCCCGGUGUAGCGGUGAAAUGCGCAGAUAUCGGGAAGAACACCGAUGGCGAAGGCAGGUCUCUGGGCCGAUACUGACGCUGAGGAGCGAAAGCGUGGGGAGCGAACAGG
rnacentral:rRNA from 1 species